rnacentral:snRNA from 1 species
AGCAACGUGGUGAGCACAAAACGAACUAUUCUUUCGCCUUUUACUAAAGAAUAUUGUGUGCACGCCACAAAUAGUGGCAUAUGCCUAGUUUUGGAGGGGUUCUCUUAGUUGAGUUCU